rnacentral:misc_RNA from 1 species
AGCAGCCGCGGUAAUUCCAGCUCCAAUAGCGUAUAUUAAAGUUGUUGCAGUUAAAAGCUCGUAGUUGAAUUUCGGGAUCAAUGCGUCGGUCGUGCCUUCGGUACGUACUAGCGUCAUUGAUUCCUCCCUUCUGAAGAACCGUGAUGUCAUUAAUUUGGUGUUACGGGGAUUCAGGACUGUUACCUUGAAAAAUUGAGUGUUUAAAGCAGGCUAACGCUUGAAUACAUUAGCAUGGAAUAAUGAAAUAGGACGUUCGAACCUAUUUUGUUGGUUUCUAGGAUCGACGUAAUGAUUAAUAGGGAUAGUUGGGGGCAUUAGUAUUCAAUUGUCAGAGGUGAAAUUCUUGGAUUUAUUGAAGACUAACUACUGCGAAAGCAUUUGCCAAGGAUGUUUUCAUUAAUCAAGAA